rnacentral:rRNA from 1 species
UAAAAAUAAUAAUAAAAAAUUUUUCCUUUUGCAUCAUGAUUUUUUUAAAGAAAAUAUAUAUAUAAUUUCCCUAAAUAUUAAAAUUUUUUGAAAAGUUAUUUUUUAAAGAUAAAAAUUUUACUUUUUGAAAAUUUUAGAAAUUAAAAAGGUUUAAUAAUAAUUUGGUUUUUAGUUUAUUAAAAAAUAAUAAAUUAUAUUUUAUUUUUUUUUUUCUAUUUUUUGGUUUAAAGUUUAAGGGGGGUUGUGGGUCUACUAAUUUACUGUUAAAAAAAUAUUUUAAUUAAAAAUUGAUAUAAAAAUAAAAAAAUUAAUAAUUUAAUUAGAAAAUAAUAACUUUACUUUUUUACAAUUGUUUAAUAAAAACAUUUUCUUUUUAAUAAAAGAUAGUCCCUGCCCAAUGAAUUUUUAAUGGCCGCAGUAAAUUGACUGCGAUAAUGUAGCAUAAUUGCUUGUAAUUUUAUUGGUUACUUGUUUGAAUGGGUUAAUGAUAAAAAUAAUUUUUAUUUUCUAUGAAAAUUUUUAUUUCUGGUUAAAAUACUAGAAUUUUAAAAAAAGAAGAGAAGACCCUAAAAGUUUUUUACAAAAAGUUAUGUAUUUUUUUUAGGGAAAAAAUUUUUUUUAAAAAUUUUUAGUCCGGGUUUUAGGCAAAAAUUACUUUAGGGAUAACAGGAAAAUAAAAAUUAAAAGUUCAAAUUUAAAUUUUUGUUUUUUACCUCGAUGUUGAAUUAAAAAAUCUUUUUUUUUGCAGGAGAAAAAAAAGAAAGUCUGUUCGACUUUUAAAUAUUUACAUGAUUUGAGUUUAAACCGGUGUGAGCCAGGUUGGAUUCUAUCUUUUUAGGGGGAAGUAUUGUACGAAAGGACUUACUU